GCCGUUGUGCCCAGAUGUGGGAUUUUCCACCCUUGGUAAGGGUGAGGUCGGGAGUUCAAUCCUCCCCAGCAGCACCA
rnacentral:tRNA from 1 species